UACGUAGGGGGCAAGCGUUGUCCGGAUUUAUUGGGCGUAAAGGGCGCGUAGGCGGUUUCUUAAGUUUGGAGUGACAGUGGGUGGCUUAACUACCCAAGGCCUCUGAAAACUGGGGAACUUGAGGACCAGAGAGGGACAUAGAAUUCCGGGUGGAGUGGUGAAAUGCGUAGAUAUCCGGAGGAAUACCAGAGGCGAAGGCAGUGUCCUGGAGGGUGACUGACGCUGAGGCGCGAAAGCUAGGGGAGCGAACAGG
rnacentral:rRNA from 1 species